CGUUUACACUAUUCAGGCUCGGAAGUUAGAAUGUUUGGCCUAGGCCUAGUAGGAGCAUGUAUAUUUCUUAGGUACCCAACAUCAGCUGAGUAUUCAAGUAUAGUGGAGCAACUACUUACCCACAACAAAUAUCAUCCGAUACUCAAAUGAGGAAGUUCCCCGCUGAAUUUCAAAUUAUAAAUGAUUUGGAAAAUGAUGCUGUAGCCCUAUUGAAAGCUGGCAUAGACAAGUACAGAUCUGCAUUAAUAUCACAGUACAGAAACCAGCGAACCAAAAACGUAUAAUGCAGCACUGAUUUGAAUAAUUCUUUUGGAAUAAGAGAAAUUGGAUAAGAAGGAAAACGAGCACACUGGAUAGGGAUACCGGUGGUGAACGUGGGAGGCCCUGUACCAGGGAUGCAACCCCUGAGACAGUUAACUAAUGUUGAUUAUUAUCGGAACCAUUCCUCCUCUUGGCGUAGGGACAGGACACCCGAAUAUCGGCUGGGUAGAUAUGAUCGCUCGGACUCCCGUAACUGAGAUAGGAUGCCCAAAUAUCCGCAGGGUAGAUAUGAGCAUGCUGACACACAUUGCAGACAAAACAUUCCAUACCGCAGGGCAUACAAAGGUAGUCCCAAACAGUUACAUUUAUCACCAAAUAUUCUAGUUUGGGAAACUAAAGUCAGCUGGAAAUGUGGGUCAAUAUUCGGCUUAUGCAAGUGGAAAUACUAGUGAUAUGCAAAGACCCCUCAGUUGUCAUCAGCAGAUGACCAAC